rnacentral:rRNA from 1 species
GAUGAACGCUAGCGGCAGGCUUAACACAUGCAAGUCGAACGCCCCGCAAGGGGAGUGGCAGACGGGUGAGUAACGCGUGGGAAUCUACCCAUCCCUACGGAACAACUCCGGGAAACUGGAGCUAAUACCGUAUACGCCCUUAGGGGGAAAGAUUUAUCGGGGAUGGAUGAGCCCGCGUUGGAUUAGCUAGUUGGUGGGGUAAAGGCCUACCAAGGCGACGAUCCAUAGCUGGUCUGAGAGGAUGAUCAGCCACAUUGGGACUGAGACACGGCCCAGACUCCUACGGGAGGCAGCAGUGGGGAAUAUUGGACAAUGGGCGCAAGCCUGAUCCAGCCAUGCCGCGUGAGUGAUGAAGGCCUUAGGGUUGUAAAGCUCUUUCAGUGGGGACGAUAAUGACGGUACCCACAGAAGAAGCCCCGGCUAACUUCGUGCCAGCAGCCGCAGUAAAAC